AUUGAACGCUGGCGGCAUGCUUUACACAUGCAAGUCGAACGGCAGCGCGGGCUUCGGCCUGGCGGCGAGUGGCGAACGGGUGAGUAAUACAUCGGAACGUGCCCAGUAGUGGGGGAUAGCUCGGCGAAAGCCGGAUAAAUACCGCAUACGACCUGAGGGUGAAAGCGGGGGAUUUUCGGACCUCGCGCUAUUGGAGCGGCCGAUGGCAGAUUAGCUAGUUGGUGGGGUAAAGGCCUACCAAGGCGACGAUCUGUAGCUGGUCUGAGAGGACGACCAGCCACACUGGAACUGAGACACGGCCCAGACUCCUACGGGAGGCAGCAGUGGGGAAUUUUGGACAAUGGGCGAAAGCCUGAUCCAGCAAUGCCGCGUGUGUGAUGAAGGCCUUCGGGUUGUAAAGCACUUUUGGCGGGAACGAAAAGGACUGUGCCAAUACCACGGUUCGAUGACGGUACCCGAAGAAUAAGCACCGGCUAACUACGUG
rnacentral:rRNA from 1 species